AUGGCGUCUCCCAAUGAAGCUGACGACGACAAUUUUGGAUACAAAGGGGGGGAAAAAGAGUACAUGCUGGAGACUAUGCAAUGCUUGCUAUUUGCUAGAGAGAACCUCCCCGGUGACGUGUACCACGAGUUUGUCAAGACCAUGACCGGCAUUUGGAAAAAACGUGCCGACCCUGAUGGUGAAAUAAGGAAUAUCUGCCCUGAAAACUGCAUAGAGACGGCCUUGAAGCUAUUCCAGGGCUGUCCUACAGUUAAACAGAGCUUCUUGAACUUUACCGAAGGCCGUAGCCCCUUCGACGGCAAUGGCAAUGUCGAUGCCGUUGCUGUCAACCCCCUGAUGCAGAAACCAAUGGAUUUUCUUUCCAGAGUGAAGACAUGUCCUAACAUCAGCGACGAUGAUUAUGCUGCUUUUUUACAAACCAUGCAAGAUUUUUGCAGGGACAGGACCAUGACCCCUCGAGAAGUUUACAGUAAUGUGGAGAGAUGCAUGCGUAACUGCCCUGAGCUGUUGGAAGAGUUUAUAGAUAAUUUUCUCCCGGCAGACCUGAAGGCCUUAGUUAAAGAAAAUGAUAAUCACAGCUUGGAUGGUGUCCAUAUGAAAGAAGGUAAUGGAGUGUCGCCUCACACUGAAGAGGACGAGGAAGACAAGGUUAAACCCUUGCCAGCAUGGACUACCUCAAGAAUUGAUGAAUUGCCCCCAAAAUUGGAACCCAAGGAACUCAAAAGACAUUGCACUCCUAGCUAUUACCUGCUGCCAGAUAAUUGUAUACCUCAAUUGAGUUACCGGACCGAACUGGGAAGGUCUAUUCUCAACGAUGCUUUGAUUUGUCCUGUAUCUGAGGAGGAAAGCCCUAACCAUAAAGCUGCAAAUGAAUAUGAAGCAAAAAUGUUGCUUUGCGAAGAAGACAUGUUUGAGAGUGACAUGCUCCUGCAGUGGUUUAGUGUGACUGCGGACUUCAUUGCGAAUCUCCAACAUCGUGCUGGCAGCGAUGUGAAGAUUAAGGAACAACUAACUCCUCUACAUAGGAGAUGCAUCAUAAGACUAUAUGGUGAGGAAUUUCUUGAAGCUCUGUUGGAUACCGACAAUGCUAGUGCUGCUCUCCCUGUUAUACUUUCUCGUUUGAAUCACAGCAUAGUAGAACUACAGGAGGCACGAUUGCGUUUGCGUAAGACUCGCUCAGAAGUUAUGGCAAAAAAUUACUACAGAGCACUUGAUCAUCGCGGCCCCUCUUUCAAACAACUGGAUGCAAAGAGAAUGAGCCGGAAAGCUUUGCUGGCUGAAGCCAAAGAAAUCAAUGCAAUGAAGCCAAAGGCUGAAGAUCAAUAUGCUAAUCCUGACAUACACAGGGACAUAAGCAGCAUAAUCUCCUCUGCAUGCGCUUCUGAAGAGAAGCAGAUGGUGACUUGGACAAAAAUAGUACAUCCAUUUCUUUCUGCUCACUGUGCACAGCCUUCAUCAGAGGAAACUGUAGCUCCUGAAAAAGCUUGUGAACAUUGCGGCACCAGAAAAGAUAUUCUAAAUAACAAUCCUGAUGCUUUCACUGACAAUAAUCUUCCUCUAUCGUCCAAGAGAGGUGAAUUCGUAAGCAAAAAUUCCAAAGACUUUAGCUCUUCACACGAUGGUUCUGGUGCAGACAUUGAGGAAGGCGAGUUCAUACCCGAUCGAGAAACCAUUGUGUCGGAUGUCAUGCGUGGUGCCGGAAAAGAACCAGUAAGUUGUGAUGUUGCUGCUUCUGUUAGAGAUGGGUUGAGCUCUCGUUGCCGCAUAAUCGAUUCUUCCGAACCUAGUACUCGUGACCAUGGGGACAAACAUGAAAAGCAGCAUGAAUCAAGGCAAACAUCUGCUAAACCGCGUGGUGUGAAAGGAGGAACUUGUUGUUUCCUCGUUGUGCUUCGCAGGCUCUACCAGAUUUUAUAUAACAGACUACAGAAUGCGAGAUAUUUAUGCACCAGUGACAACCUAUAUGCAGAAUUUAAGGAGAAACUCACCAAGCUGCAUUAUCGCGUUAUUGAUAAUUCCAAUUUUGAGGACUUCUGCCUGAAAUAUCUUGGGCCAAUGUCUUUUGAACUUUUUACUCUGGAUACAGUGAUAAACCAAGUUAUCAAGCAGCUGUGCAUAAUUUCUUCCAAGGAUCCAGACAACUCAAUCGUUCAAUUCCUUGAGAACUUACAAAGGCCAAUUCUACCCAAUGAAUUGCCAAAGCAUGAUCGAGAGGAGCAGGAGAGAGCUCUUGAUGAUACCGUAAAACUCCCACGCCAUUUUGAGAGACGGAAAAAACGCAAGUUGGAGAACAGUGCAACGGGUUCCUGUCAGCUUGGAGGAGUGACUGAAACUCAUCACUGA
rnacentral:rRNA from 1 species